rnacentral:rRNA from 1 species
CAGCAGCCACGGUAAUACGGAGGGCGCGAGCGUUACCCGGAUUUACUGGGCGUAAAGAGCGUGUAGGCGGCCUGGGGCGUCCCAUGUGAAAGGCCACGGCUCAACCGUGGAGGAGCGUGGGAUACGCUCAGGCUAGAGGGUGGGAGAGGGUGGUGGAAUUCCCGGAGUAGCGGUGAAAUGCGCAGAUACCGGGAGGAACGCCGAUGGCGAAGGCAGCCACCUGGUCCACUUCUGACGCUGAGGCGCGAAAGCGUGGGGAGCAAACCGGAUUAGAUACCCCCGUAGUCCCUGUCUCUUAUAC